AGCAGAUCCUUGAUGAAUUGCAGUUUUUAGCACUUCCGCAUUGGACUCAUAUUUUCAGACCGGAGGUUGCCGCUAGGGCAGAAUACGAAACAGGACGCUAUAUAGCGAGAGACGGUGUAGACUGGAAGAAGGACGAGAAGCAACGGGUGCACUACGAAGCGGCACGGAGAAAAGGGAUCCCGCAUCGAGGAGUGUCAACAGAGCAGCAAGUGUCCGCCAACGCCAUUUCUCGCAAGCCUGGGUCCGUAGUCGGCAAACUUCGACCCUGGAAAAAAACGUCUUUUUGAAGAGUCGACGUGAGGUGGCCACGUUGAGGGGCAUCAGGAGUUCAGAGAUGUGGAAGGAACGUUCCACUUCGGACUUGGACUUUUAUUUGACUUUGUUAGAUAGUAUUUUAUUGUCGCUUUUACACCUGUCGCCUGUUUUAAAGUCUAUUUAUUAACGUAACCUAAUAUUAAUAAAUAUGAUCAUUGUUAA